rfam:Solanum tuberosum cultivar DM 1-3 516 R44 scf00421_25, whole genome shotgun sequence.
GAUUAGUCUUCGUUCGUCCCUUCGAGGGAUGAUACAGAGAAGAUUAGCAUGACCCUUGUUCAAGGAUGACAAAAACAAAUCAGAGAAAAGUGUGAUUAGU